GACGAACGCUGGCGGCGUGCUUAACACAUGCGAGUCGAACGAAGAGCGAGGGAAGCUUGCUUCUAUCAAUCUUAGUGGCGCACGGGUGAGUAACGCGUAAUCAACCUGCCCUUCAGAGGGGGACAACAGUUGGAAACGACUGCUAAUACCGCAUACGAUCUAACCGCGGCAUCGAGGAUAGAUGAAAGGUGGCCUCUACAUGUAAGCUAUCACUGAAGGAGGGGAUUGCGUCGGAUUAGCUAGUUGGAGGGGUACGGGCCGCCAAGGGGAUGAUCCGUUAGCGGUCUGGGGAGGUGGACGGCCACAUUGGGACUGAGACACGGCCCAGACUCCUUCGGGGGGCAGCAGUGGGGAAACUUCCGCAAUGGACGAAAGUCUGACGGCGCCACGCCGCGGGAGGUAUGACGGCCUUCGGGUUGUAAAGCUCUGUUAAUCGGGACGAAAGGCCUUCUUGCGAAUAGUUAGAAGGAUUGACGGUACCGGAAGAGAAAGCCACGGCUAACUACGUG
rnacentral:rRNA from 1 species